rnacentral:lncRNA from 1 species
CAAAACCAACUAGGGAUGACACUAGAUGCACUUAUAGAGACUAUCUCAGGAUGGAAAUGUAUCAAGGAAUUACUCAAAAGUUCAAUGAUCAAACUUCUGAUAUAACUCCUUUUCUAUUAAGAGCUGACAUCACUCAAUAUAUCUCAGGAUAGAAAUAUAUCUGAUAUUACUCAAAGGGUAGGUGAUGGUAGAUACUCACAACAGUAAUGACCUCGUAAAAUAUAUAAAAAUGACUAUCUACAUGCCAUCCGCGCAUUUGUUAUAAAAUGUGACAAUGAAAUACCUAAGCAAGGUUUGGUAUGAUAGAAACCAAAAGCAGGCCAUAGUAGUAAACUACAUGGUUGACCAUUAGAUAUAUAACUUUGUCCACACGCCUUCACCUGAUUUGCUUGAUAUAUAACUUUGUCUUUGUCCACACUCCUUCAUUUGAUUUGCUUGCAUGUUGUGACACACGGAUCUGCUAAAGGACAUAUCGGGUUAGCAAACUAUUCAAAUAGUGUGCCUCAUGGAUAGGGAGAAAAUAAUUUGGCCUAUAUGAAGGAGAGUCGCUUUGGACAAUAUUCAGUGAUGUGGAUAAAGUGUAACCUCUUUAACAUAAAAUAAUAUAAAAGAUAAGAGUAAAAAAAUUAUCUUACUAUUCUACAUGGCACCCAGAAAACAUAAUAAGCCUACUAUUCAUAGAUAUCCUCCAAGAUUUUCUUCACAAAACUUGAUUACACUAUGCGAUGAAGCAACCUAAAGGCAUCUCACCUUAUUAUGUGCCUAAUUAUUCAACACUGACAGAGGUUUCCAAAUUAGUGGUUUUGUUUUGGCAUAUAAAGAAACUGAAGUUCAUAAUAUAUAAAAGCAAAUUAAUAGAGAUUAGAUAUUGCAACCAUGAAUCCAAUCCUCUAGUGAUUACUCUCAUUCUAAAGUUAGAACAGACCAAUAAAAUUAGAUACUGCAACCAUGAAUCUCCUCUAGUGAAUACUCUCGUUCCAAAGUUAAACCAAAGAUGAGAGCUAAUUAUAUAUGCACAAGGCAUCCAGAGAAAUGAUCUGGUUGUUCAUAAAGUCAAAACCACUAUAUUGAUUCAACCAAGCAUGAUUCAAAUCAAACUACCCUUCAACCUCCGUCGUAGGACCUAUUGAGAUAUAAUGAUAUAAUGGCAGAACGAAAGGAAAAGAAAAGAAAAAAAAAGUAAAAUCAUCGUAAGAGCAUCGAAUUCAUAUCCUAAUCCACGGAAGCAUCAUGCAUAAAAAGUCUGUGCAUGAUGGAAAUGUAGAGACUAUAUAUCUCACUGGCGGACAUCCACAUAGUUUGAGGUAGAAGAAGCUCGUCGGCUAACAUUACCACAAGGAGGAGCUCAAGUUGGCCUUGGAACAGCCUAGUGUCACCGUGGAAGUCCAGAAGCAGUCCAAGCGGCGUUGCCACUAUGACCUUUAACUCUGCAAGAAGUGUCACACUCAUACAGAAAGAAGUUGUUCUCUUCCAUCCACAGAACACAAAAUAACAAAGGUAAAUAAGUUGUCUACUCAAAAUUCGGAACACUUCAUCUAAUAGGAUGACACAAACAGAAGGCCGUCGUGUAAAAAGCAAGUUCACUAAAUUCGGCAGAUGAUUAGUAAUUUAGCAUACUUGUAACCUCGCCAAUGGACAUACGCAUCCUCACAUUUAAAGAUUUUGCAUUAACAUAACCCAGUGUUAUAGUGAUAGUACGUUCCAACUCAUUCUUGAAAAAAAGAAACAUUGUACAGUUAAAAACGAAUAUCAAGCACAAGCACAAGCACAUGGAAAAGGACCACGUGGACAUUUUUUCCGUUUUAAGCUUGGAUCACCUAAACAUUGUUCUGUUUUGAGCUUGGACCACCUCAACAUUCACCACCAAAACAGAGAAGAGAAGGUUCCAAACAGAGCAAGUCAAGGAACAAAUUAUCCAAUUGUCUAUAUUCAUGGAUUAGAUGAUGCAAUAAUAAUAGUCAUGGAACUAUUUCUUUAAUGCAUAGGAAGCCAAAACAAUUCAUUAGCACUAUUCUCGAUCAAUUAUCUGAAGUCAUGGGACUAUUUUUUAAUGAACAUCUCAUUAGUGUAACUUAUAAAUCAAUAGAAACAAAUAAUAGGUGGAUCCAAAUAUGAAUGAGGAACCAAGCAGCUUUACUGUAUGCAAAUUAAAAGACUUCAACUCUGUAC